rnacentral:rRNA from 1 species
CAGGCCUAACACAUGCAAGUCGAGCGGAGCGAGGGUGCUUGCACCUUAGCUUAGCGGCGGACGGGUGAGUAAUGCUUAGGAAUCUGCCUAUUAGUGGGGGACAACGUUUCGAAAGGAACGCUAAUACCGCAUACGUCCUACGGGAGAAAGCAGGGGAUCUUCGGACCUUGCGCUAAUAGAUGAGCCUAAGUCGGAUUAGCUAGUUGGUGGGGUAAAGGCCUACCAAGGCGACGAUCUGUAGCGGGUCUGAGAGGAUGAUCCGCCACACUGGGACUGAGACACGGCCCAGACUCCUACGGGAGGCAGCAGUGGGGAAUAUUGGACAAUGGGGGGAACCCUGAUCCAGCCAUGCCGCGUGUGUGAAGAAGGCCUUUUGGUUGUAAAGCACUUUAAGCGAGGAGGAGGCUCUUCUAGCUAAUAUCUAGGAUGAGUGGACGUUACUCGCAGAAUAAGCACCGGCAACUCGG